rnacentral:rRNA from 1 species
CCGGGACCAUCCGGUAAGGCUAAAUACUCCCGAGAGACCGAUAGCGAACCAGUACUGUGAAGGAAAGGUGAAAAGCACUUCGAACAGAAGAGUGAAAUAGUUCCUGAAACCAUGUGCCUACAAGCGGUCGGAGCACCUUUUGGUGUGACGGCGUGCCUUUUGCAUAAUGAACCUACGAGUUACUUUUUCCGGCGAGGUUAAGGAUUUCAGAUCUGCAGCCGAAGCGAAAGCGAGUCUGAACAGGGCGUAUAGUCGGAAGGAGUAGACGCGAAACCAAGUGAUCUACCCUUGGGCAGGUUGAAGGAUGGGUAACACCAUCUGGAGGACCGAACCAAUAAGCGUUGAAAAGCUUCUGGAUGACCUGAGGGUGGGGGUGAAAGGCUAAUCAAACUUGGAGAUAGCUCGUACUCCCCGAAAUGCAUUUAGGUGCAGCCUUGCGGGUUACUGAUGUGAGGUAGAGCGACUGAUAAGAUGCGAGGGCUUCACCGCCUAUCAAGUCUUGACAAACUCCGAAUGCGUGUCAGUUCUAUGUCAGGAGUGAGGGCAUGGGUGCUAAGGUCCAUGUCCUAAAGGAGAACAAUCCGGACCAACAGCUAAGGUCCCGAAAUGAAUACUAAGUUGAACUAACGAAGUCAGAUUGCUAAGACAGCUAGGAUGUUGGCUUGGAAGCAGCCAUUCAUUUAAAGAGUGCGUAACAGCUCACUAGUCGAGGAGUUUGGCGUGGAUAAUAAUCGGGCAUAAGUAUUCUACCGAAGCUUUGGGAUGAGAAAUCAUCGGUAGGGGAGCAUUCCACUCGGCGUCGAAGGUGAGGCGCGAGCUUUGCUGGAGCGUGUGGAAAAGCAAAUGUAGGUAUAAGUAACGAUAAAGGGGGUGGGAAACCCCCUCGCCGAAAGACUAAGGUUUCCUGAUCAACGCUAAUCGGAUCAGGGUAAGUCGGGUCCUAAGGCUCAGCCGAACGGCGAGGCCGAUGGCAGAACCGGUUAAUAUUCCGGUACUACCUGUGGGAGUGACGUGGAGACGGAGUCGUGACAGCGCCGCGGACUGACGGAAUAGUCCGUUGAAGGGUGUAGAUGCUGAUUGUUCCAGGCAAAUCCGGAGCAAGAGUCGAACCUGAUAGUAUGGAGCGUUCUUAGAACAAUCCAAUAGUGCGUGUAAUCAUACUUCCAAGAAAAUCCGCUAAACUUAAUCCUGCAGGUACCCGUACCGCAAACGGACACACGUAGUCGGGUUGAAUAUACUAAGGCGCUUGAGUGAUUCACGGUUAAGGAACUAGGCAAACUGACCCUGUAACUUCGGGAUAAAGGGUCCUCGCUUUACGGCGAGGCGCAGAGAAUAGGUCCAGGCAACUGUUUAACAAAAACACAGGGCUGUGCAAAAUUGAAAGAUGAAGUAUACAGCCUGACACCUGCCCGGUGCUGGAAGGUUAAGAGGAGAUGUCAUCGCAAGAGAAGCAUUGAAUUGAAGCCCCAGUAAACGGCGGCCGUAACUAUAACGGUCCUAAGGUAGCGAAAUUCCUUGUCGGGU